GUGGCGCACGGGUGCGUAACGCGUAUACAAUCUACCUUUUACAGGGGUAUAGCCUUUAGAAAUGAAGAUUAACACCCCAUAGUAUCUAGAUAUCACAUGGUAUUUAGCUUAAAACUUCGGUGGUAAAAGAUGAGUAUGCGUUCUAUUAGCUAGAUGGUAAGGUAACGGCUUACCAUGGCUACGAUAGAUAGGGGCCCUGAGAGGGGGAUCCCCCACACUGGUACUGAGACACGGACCAGACUCCUACGGGAGGCAGCAGUGAGGAAUAUUGGACAAUGGGCGAGAGCCUGAUCCAGCCAUGCCGCGUGCAGGAUGACUGCCCUAUGGGUUGUAAACUGCUUUUAUAUAGGAAGAAACCUUUCCACGUGUGGAAAGCUGACGGUACUAUAAGAAUAAGGAUCGGCUAACUCCGUGCCAGCAGCCGCGGUAAUACGGAGGAUCCAAGCGUUAUCCGGAAUCAUUGGGUUUAAAGGGUCCGUAGGUGGAUAAUUAAGUCAGAGGUGAAAUCCUGCAGCUCAACUGUAGAAUUGCCUUUGAUACUGGUUAUCUUGAAUUAUUGUGAAGUGGUUAGAAUAUGUAGUGUAGCGGUGAAAU
rnacentral:rRNA from 1 species